rnacentral:rRNA from 1 species
AUGUCUUGGAGAGGAUGGGUUUUGAAGAUCAUGAGAGGAAUGAAACAAAGAAAAUUAACCUAAGGACCCAUCAUGGUAUGGAUUUUGAGGUAAAUCUAUACAAUUCUGAGAGCGUAUCCCAUUUUGGUUGCCCGGGUUGGGAAUCACUUUGCAAGAUGUAUGAUUUUCAAGAGGGUAUGUUUGUCACCAUGUAUCUUGGUGAUCCUGACAUCGACCAAGACAAUUUGGACAUUUGGGUCCUUGUUGAUACGCUUCCAAUUCUACCGCUAUGUGAGUUUCUCAAACAUAGUUAUUAACUAAUUUAUAUUGUUCAUUUCAAAAUAGUUAACAACUUAUUUCCAUUGACAGCUUAUUUUAAUUGUUCAAACAAUGUGCGGAACAUGGUAGACAGAACCUAGUACACCGAUGGCUCUGAGUUAACUUAUC